UACGAAGGGGGCUAGCGUUGUUCGGAAUUACUGGGCGUAAAGGGCGCGCAGGCGGCCGCUCAAGUCAGAUGUGAAAGCCCCGGGCUCAACCUGGGAACUGCAUUUGAUACUGAGUGGCUAGAGUUCGGGAGAGGAGAGUGGAAUUCCCAAUGUAGAGGUGAAAUUCGUAGAUAUUGGGAAGAACACCGGUGGCGAAGGCGGCUCUCUGGACCGACACUGACGCUGAGGCGCGAAAGCGUGGGGAGCAAACAGGG
rnacentral:rRNA from 1 species